GGGAGGCGGCGCGAGGUCGUACGCGGCUGGCGCGCGCACGCAGGAGGCGUGGCUGCGCGACGCGGCGUCGUCGUAGGCGCCGCUCUUGUUCGGCUCCGGUCUUCACAGCUCCCGCGGAAGGGUCAGUGGAACCGCGGUAGCCAGGCGGCUGGCGUGGGAGCCCCGGCGGCCGGCGUGGGAGCCCCGUGGGUAGAGCCGGGCCCGCGCCCCUCCGCCCCGGCCUGAUUCUCCGUUCGCAGAGGGACGCUCGAGAUCCCUGGCCUGGGUCUCCGGUGCCCUCCCGGCCGGCCGCCUCAGUUUCUCGGUCCGCGUUAGGGCCUGGGGAGAGGGGUGCGGGGCGCCUGGAGACCUUACGGGCCUUCCCCGCGGUCUCGGGAGGCCUUGCCUGCCCCCCCGCCUGGCCUCACCGCGUCCGAUCUUAUUCCCCUCUUUGCAGGUGGCGCUGGGACUCUCGCCCUCGGGAGCAGACCGCACGGUCUCGGAUUGCAGACCUGUGGAUGCUAUUGGCGGGCACUUCGGAUAGCCGCUGAUUUCCUCGGAUGGUGUGGCCUGCGUCCGACAGUCCCAUCAGCUCUUCCCAGCUCUACUGAGGUCGCGGCUGUCUGCUCCCCUGCUCCUCGGCAUUUGCCCGGAACGGCCUGGCCCUGCCUCGCCCCCGCCUGGCCCAUCUCUAUCCUGUGUGUCCCGCACCUGGCCACUUCUGCCCAUAUCGUCUCUUCUCCCACUCUCCUUCCUUCCUUCUCCUAGCUGGUGUGUAAACCCUCCAGCUCCCAGCAUGCUUGUGGCUGGCACCAGCAGCAGGGCCCUCAUCACCCUGUCCAGGCAGCCACCAGUUACGCCAAUACCUGGCCCUAGCAGCAGAUGGACCGACCCUCGGCUGGGAUCAUGCACACCCGCCUGGUAGACCCCUGGAUUGCGUGGCCCUGCUGUGGGGACCCUG
rnacentral:lncRNA from 1 species